CCCUUAGAUGUUCUGGGCCGCACGCGUGCUACACUGAGUGGAUCAGCGGGUCAGGUUGCGCGAAAGCGUUUCCUAAUCUUUAAAUCCGCUCGUGAUGGGGAUUGACGGUUGCACUUUUCUGUCAUGAACGAGGAAUACCUUGUAAGCGCGGGUCAUCAUCCCGCGCUGAAUACGUCCCUGCCCUUUGUACACACCGCCCGUCGCUCCUACCGAUUGAGUGGUCCGGUGAGGCUUUGGGAUCUGAGCGGAAAGAGCGUUUCGCUGUUUCUGCUCGGAAAACUCAGUCGAACCUUAUCAUUUAGAGGAAGGAGAAGUCGUAACA
rnacentral:rRNA from 1 species